UACAGAGGGUGCGAGCGUUGUCCGGAAUUACUGGGCGUAAAGCGCACGUAGGCGGCUUUCUAAGUCGGGGGUGAAAUCCUGGAGCUCAACUCCAGAACUGCCUUCGAUACUGGAAAGCUCGAGUCCGGGAGAGGUGAGUGGAACUGCGAGUGUAGAGGUGAAAUUCGUAGAUAUUCGCAAGAACACCAGUGGCGAAGGCGGCUCACUGGCCCGGUACUGACGCUGAGGUGCGAAAGCGUGGGGAGCAAACAGG
rnacentral:rRNA from 1 species